rnacentral:rRNA from 1 species
CUACGUAGCUCAGAGUUUGAUCCUGGCUCAGGACGAACGCUGGCGGCGUGCUUAACACAUGCAAGUCGAACGGAAAGGCCCCUUUGGGGGUACUCGAGUGGCGAACGGGUGAGUAACACGUGAGUAACCUGCCCUUGACUUCGGGAUAACUUCAGGAAACUGGGGCUAAUACCGGAUAGGAAUCCUUGCUGCAUGGUGGGGGUUGGAAAGCUUCGGCGGUUUUGGAUGGACUCGCGGCUUAUCAGCUUGUUGGUGGGGUAGUGGCUUACCAAGGCUUUGACGGGUAGCCGGCCUGAGAGGGCGACCGGCCACAUUGGGACUGAGAUACGGCCCAG